GUUGAUAGGUCAGGUGUGGAAGUGCAGUAAUGCAUUAAGCUAACUGAUACUAAUUGCCCGUACGGCUUGUCCCUAUAACCUUGACGGUUAUA
rnacentral:rRNA from 1 species